CCCUUAGAUGUCCGGGGCCGCACGCGCGCUACACUGAAGGAAUCAGCGUGGCUUUCUCCCAGACCCGAAAGGGUUGGGAAACCCGUUGAAUCUCCUUCGUGAUAGGGAUUGGGGCUUGAAAUUGUUCCCCAUGAACGAGGAAUUCCCAGUAAGCGCGAGUCAUAAGCUCGCGUUGAUUACGUCCCUGCCCUUUGUACACACCGCCCGUCGCUACUACCGAUUGAACGGUUUAGUGAGGGCCUCGGAUUGGUCUCGGCCCGCUCUUUACCGGGCGGCGCCGUUGGUCGAGAAGACGCUCGAACUUGAUCGUUUAGAGGAAGUAAAAGUCGUAACA
rnacentral:rRNA from 1 species